UUCCUACUGAAGAGUCCUAAACUAGGAUGAAACAACUGUCCAGUAA
rnacentral:hammerhead_ribozyme from 1 species